UAGUAGGCGUCGAGUGGCGGACGGGUGAGUAACGCGUAGGAAUCUGCCUGAUAGUGGGGGAUAGCCCGGAGAAAUUCGGAUUAAUACCGCAUAAUCUAUUCGUAGUAAAGUGGGGGACUUUCGAGCCUCACGCUAUCAGAUGAGCCUGCGUAAGAUUAGCUUGUUGGUAGGGUAAAAGCCUACCAAGGCGACGAUCUUUAGCUGGUCUGAGAGGAUGAUCAGCCACAUCGGGACUGAGACACGGCCCGAACUCCUACGGGAGGCAGCAGUGGGGAAUAUUGGACAAUGGGGGCAACCCUGAUCCAGCAAUACCGCGUGUGUGAAGAAGGCCUGAGGGUUGUAAAGCACUUUCAAUUGUGAAGAAAAGUUAACGGUUAAUAACCGUUAGCCUUGACGUUAACUUUAGAAGAAGCACCGGCUAACUCCGUGCCAGCAGCCGCGGUAAUACGGAGGGUGCAAGCGUUAAUCGGAAUUACUGGGCGUAAAGCGUGCGUAGGUGGUUUAUUAAGUCAGAUGUGAAAGCCCCGGGCUUAACCUGGGAACUGCAUUUGAAACUGGUAAACUAGAGUAUGGUAGAGGAAAGUGGAAUUUCUGGUGUAGCGGUGAAAUGCGUAGAUAUCAGAAGGAACAUCAAUGGCGAAGGCAGCUUUCUGGACCAAUACUGACACUGAGGUACGAAAGCGUGGGUAGCAAACAGGAUUAGAUACCCUGGUAGUCCACGCCGUAAACGAUGAUAACUAGCCGUUGGAGGGAUUUACCCUUUAGUGGCGAAGCUAACGCGUUAAGUAUCCGCCCUGGGUACGCCGACA
rnacentral:rRNA from 1 species